rnacentral:rRNA from 1 species
UCUUGGUCAUUUAGAGGAAGUAAAAGUCGUAACAAGGUCUCCGUUGGUGAACCAGCGGAGGGAUCAUUACUGAGUUUACGCUCUACAACCCUUUGUGAACAUACCUAUAACUGUUGCUUCGGCGGGUAGGGUCUCCGCGACCCUCCCGGCCUCCCGCCUCCGGGCGGGUCGGCGCCCGCCGGAGGAUAACCAAACUCUGAUUUAACGACGUUUCUUCUGAGUGGUACAAGCAAAUAAUCAAAACUUUUAACAACGGAUCUCUUGGUUCUGGCAUCGAUGAAGAACGCAGCGAAAUGCGAUAAGUAAUGUGAAUUGCAGAAUUCAGUGAAUCAUCGAAUCUUUGAACGCACAUUGCGCCCGCCAGCAUUCUGGCGGGCAUGCCUGUUCGAGCGUCAUUUCAACCCUCAAGCUCUGCUUGGUGUUGGGGCCCUACAGCCGAUGUAGGCCCUCAAAGGUAGUGGCGGACCCUCCCGGAGCCUCCUUUGCGUAGUAACUUUACGUCUCGCACUGGGAUCCGGAGGGACUCUUGCCGUAAAACCCCCCAAUUUUCCAAAGGUUGACCUCGGAUCAGGUAGGAAUACCCGCUGAACUUAAGCAUAUCAAUAA